UUCAUCCUUGUCUUUGGGGAGCAAAGUAUUCAAUGAUCGUUUAGUGAGAGUACUGUUGCUGAAGCCCAUUAAUAUUAUUAUGUCUGCAUCCAUGCAUUUUUGUGUGUGAUGCAAUUUUUGGGGGC
rnacentral:ncRNA from 1 species